rnacentral:rRNA from 1 species
GGGAGCAAGCGUUGUCCGGAAUCACUGGGCGUAAAGGGUGCGUUAGGCGGCAAGCCAAGUCAGAUGUGAAAUCCCCGGGCUUAACUCGGGGGGUGCAUUUGAAACUGGCUAGCUUGAGUGCAGGAGAGGAAAGCGGAAUUCCUAGUGUAGCGGUGAAAUGCGUAGAUAUUAGGAGGAACACCAGUGGCGAAGGCGGCUUUCUGGACUGUAACUGACGCUGAGGCACGAAAGCC